rnacentral:rRNA from 1 species
AAAGAUCGAAUGGGGAGAUUCAUCGUCAACGAUUGCUGGCUUCGCGAUGGCUCGUGAUGUCCACCGGACCUGUUCGGUGGCACACGGUCGUUGCGUUGCGUCUGGCUGCGUCGGCGUGCACUUCUCCCCUAGUAGAACGUCGCGACCCGUUGGGUGCCGGUCUUACGGCCUGGGUGGAUGCCUGAUCGCGCAUUAUUGCGCCAGACACCCGUGUGCCAAUGAAUCCGGCUGCCCGGCGGUACGCUCAUGGUAUCGGGCCGCAAACUCGAACUGCGUCGGGCCUACUUUGCCCGCGAAUCAGUCCCUCGGUGGUACGGACCUAGCGCCGUCCCCUUGCCUGAUCCGCAUGUGGCAAAUGGUGUCCUCCGACAGGCCCAUAAACUCGAAUUUUGAUACCGGUCGGCGACGCUAAUGCUUUGGGUAAUCUCAGGACCCGUCUUGAAACACGGACCAAGGAGUCUAACAUGUGCGCGAGUCAUUGGGACCGCAAGCCUAAAGGCGAAAUGAAAGUGAAGGUCGGCCUUAGCGCCGACCGAGGGAGGAUGGGCCGCGUUACGAUGCGGCUCCGCACUCCCGGGGCGUCUCGUUCUCAU